CAGAGACCAGAUCCGCGAGUGACGUGUCCCGGCGGAGGAGAAGCAAAUCGCUGCGGUUGUUUACAAGCAGACUUUCCGCCGUCCUGAGAGUGGCUCAAAUCGUGCAUUUUUUAAUUUCCACCGGAACAUAAAUAGGAAGAAUCUUGUCCGGAGGGAAAGUUCGCCACAACGGUGGCGUUCCUGAUGAGACGUCCUGAAGGGUCUGUUUAUAUGAGGGGAGGACGGUGACCGAGGAGCGGAGUGGUCAGCGGCAUCUACUGUAGUGCCGUGAAGUGAGCGUUCUUCACCGUCCUCUCUCUUCUGGAGCCCUUCAUCUCCAAGAGAGACCUCAGCCAACAUGAGUGGAGAGGCAGCAGCUGCUGCAGCAGCAAGGUAGCAGCUACUACAAUAAUGUAAUCACGCUAUGCUGCCAUUAAGGAGAGGAGGAGGAUGGAUCCACUCAUGAUGUUGGUGAUGAUGAUGAGGAGGAGGAUGGACCUUCCUCUGCCUCACCUGGUGCUGCUGCGUCUCCUCCACCUGCCACUGGCCCUUCCUCAUCCACUGCUGCUCCUCAUGACUCCGAUGGAAGAGACCAACAGAGGAAGGGGUCCCCCGAUGCUGAAGCUGAGCUCAAAUAUCUACUAAUGUACUCCCUCCACACACCCAGCUCAGAAGAAGGGACAGUUUUCAAGGUCCUCGUUCCUUCCAGGUUCCACAUAAAUGUAAAAUGUACAUGUUACUUUACCAAGCAAAACAACAGCUGACUGAAAUCAUUUGGACCCUUCAUUUAUUUUCUUUGUAGCCACAGUUUCAUGAAAGAACCGGAUGCCACCCCACUUCCUCCGCCUCUCUUGACCCUCGUCCCUCUGAGGAAGAUCCUUCAAAACACACCUAUGUAGUUCACUUCAAGUUUGACUGUGAUUCUGUGUGUAUUGAAUGAGUAUAAAUGAAUUAGUUACUUUAUUUUUGCAAAUAAAGUGUUUGACAAUGAACAUUUCUUUUUGUGAAAAAUGGAUUCACAGAAAAAAAUUAAAUCAAAAGCACUUUGCAAAAU